rnacentral:pre_miRNA from 11 species
GCCCGUAUGGGAAGAUGCAUUAUCCCGUGCGGGCGUCUUAAUCCGACCGCAUGGGAUAAUCGAUUAUCCCAUGCGGUC